CUACUGGCGCUUCCAAAGGCGAAGCUCUCGUCUUUGGUGACCAGCAAACGGACGGCUAAAAACCUGUAGUUUUGAAGAAAGGGAUGAGCGCGAAAGCCAUUGCGCUUCCGUACCCGCGCAUACGUUUUCUUGCUGGGGCGGACACGGAUUUCUCUCUAAAGGCGAAAAAAAGAAGUGGGCGAACACUCGGCCCAGCGGGCGAACAUGCCGGCUCCGGCUCCGCGCACCUGCUGACACCUUUCGAAGCACUUUCACGUGUGAACCGAAGUCGUCUUGCCGAACUCCUUCCUUUCUCAUUUCAGUCCUCGCCUUUUUCAU
rnacentral:rRNA from 1 species